GCAUAGGGUACUGUAGCUACUGACAUUACAGGCGUGAUUCAGAAAUUAGGGAGAGAUUUUAAUUAGAGAACAUUGGAUACACUUUUUCAAUGCCAGUUAACAAUAUUAUAGUUAUCAUGUUUCACAUUGUAUUUAUCAACUACAAAAAGGUUGGAUACCCUUUAACCCUGAUGGCACCCCGAACGACAUCACCCAGCUCAACAAAAGCCAGGCUAACAUCCCUCAGGCCAAUGACAGUCAGGCCUCCGUCACCCAGGCCUCCGUCACCCAGGCCAACAUCACCCAGGCAAACGUCACCCAGGCAAAAUACAGGCAGACUGACGUGUCCCAGGCCAACGUCACCCAGGCAAACUACAGGCAGACUGACGUGUCCCAGGCCAACGUCACCCAGGCAAACUACAGGCAGACCGACGUGUCCCAGGCCAACGACAACCAGGCCAAAGUCUCCCAGGUGAACAACAGCCCAGACAACAUCACACUCAGAUACCCCCCCUGACUCCGGACAGCCCGGAUGACACUGUCACCCUGAACUCAAUCUCAGUUGACUCCCUAUCCCUCCCGACAAAGGGAGGAAGAAGGAUGAAGAAGACAUGAAUGUUUAGUGCCUUGGAGCAUUUUCACAAAUCCACAUCUGAUUCUGAUCUUUGUGUUUAGUACCUUUAUUGGCACUAAAAUAUGUAAAUUAAAAAUGAAACAAAGUCUUGCUCUAACAAAUCUUGGUAGCUGCCUGAGGUGGGUGUAGGAACAGUGAAAAUAUAUUAAGAUGACGUUUUUAGAUCAGAAGUAGUUGAGUACAUAAGGCUCCGUAACUGCAACAGAGUGAUACUUCUGAAGAUGUAAGAUCUGUUGGGCAGUAUGUGAAGGUGCACUCAAGAACAGUAUUUCCCUCCCUUGUCUGACUCUGAUAGCUGUCUCCCCUUCUCUUGGCUCUUUGAACUCUGUGGCUCAUUCAAUGCCUCACAGUUGCAUUCCCAAGCAGGAAAUCUGUAGAUGAUUGGUGUUUGUAGUUAAGGUCAUCUUGUCUUUUUGUAGUUGAAAGGGAACUUAGUCAUUCUGCUUUUGAUAUUGCAGUGUGCACAAUGGAGUAUGGCCAGUGAAGUCCGUGAUCGGGGAAAGGUUGGGCCAGGCAAGGCAUGUGGUCCUUCUGUGGCUCAGUUGGUAGAGCAUGGCGCUUGUAACGCCAGGGUAGUGGGUUCGAUUCCCGGGACCACCCAUACGUAGAAUGUAUGCACACAUGACUGUAAGUCGCUUUGGAUAAAAGCGUCAGCUAAAUGGCAUAUAUUAUUAUUAUUAUUAUAUUUUAUUAUUAUUAUUAUUAUUAUUAUUAAAUGUGAUCGGGGAAAGGUUGGGCCAGGCAAGGCACAGAAAGAGAAAAUAAAUGUGAUCGGGGAAAGGUUGGGCCAGGCAAGGCACAGAAAGAGAAAAUAAAUGUGAUCGGGGAAAGGUUGGGCCAGGCAAGGCACAGAAAGAGAAAAUAUAUGUGAUCGGGGAAAGGUUGGGCCAGGCAAGGCACAGAAAGAGAAAAUAAAUGUGAUCGGGGGAAAGGUUGGGCCAGGCAAGGCACAGAAAGAGAAAAUAAAUGUGAUCGGGGAAAGGUUGGGCCAGGCAAGGCACAGAAAGAGAAAAUAAAUGUGAUCGGGGAAAGGUUGGGCCAGGCAAGGCACAGAAAGAGAAAAUAAAUGU